CUUUUAGAGGCAAAUGUGGUGCCUAAUAUCAGUGCUUUGACUGGCCCCUGUGUGGUGAUACCCUGUACUUUCCAGACUGGUGACAAAUUCAUUCCACGCCUUCGAGGUCUGUGGUACACCAGUGAGGGCAAAUAUGUUUACCACACUGGACAAUCCAAUGUUAUGGACAACUUUAAGGGCCGCACAAAGCUUCUGGGGAAUCCAGAUGAGAAGAACUGCACUUUAGAAAUUGAUAAUGUUCAAGCUCAUGAUAAAGGGCCAUUCUGUUUCCGUGCGGAAAAAGGAAACGAUAAGUACAGCUUCAACCACAGCUGUGUGUUCAUCAUCAUGAAAGCAUCUCCUGACAGGCCUGUGAUAUCAGCUUUGGCUCUUCCUGAGGAGAUGGAGCCAGGAAAGCAAUUCACAAUAAACUGUUCUGUCACGCAUACAUGUUUCUCACAUCCACCAACUAUCACAUGGAAUGUUCCGGCUGCCAGAGAAGUGGUGAGCCACGUGGAGAGAAGUGCAGGCAAAUGGGAAACAACCUCCACAAUUACUUUCAUCUAUGAAGAAGGCUAUGAAGAAGUAGAAAAUCUCAUUUGCUGAGCCUUUUUCAGAAUAUUUGGCCCUGCCAUUCCAAUACUUUCAGGGGGAACUGUAUUUGAACCUGGUCAAGCAGAUCAGAUUCAUAUGUACUUGUCAAUUUGCUCUAAAUGCAUAUAAAUUUAUGCAGUAAAUUUAUUUUAAUGUAUUAAUGUAACAUUUAAUCUAUUUUAACUUAUAAACAUCUAUAUGUUAUAAAUUAGUUUGUGGAAAAUAAGUCAUGAUUUAGUAAAUUAAGCAAGCACUGGUUUUUACAUACGCUUUUAUUUUAACAAUCAUAAAUAGUCAAUGAAAAUGUAACUUUUAUUCACAGAGUAAACAAUGUCAGUGCAGCAGCCACAUCUGCAGGAUAUUCAAAACCCCACUUUCCAUCACCAAAGAGUGAACCAAAGUGCUACAUAUCAGGUGGUGGCCACUUAGCACAUUAUGAUGAUGAUGAUUACACCAACACUGCAGAUUUCAAAAUGCAUCGGAAAAUAUAAUCAUGACAGAGGAGUCUAUGCAGAAGGAGUGAAAUACUAUUGUUUUUUUUCUAUAAGACUUGGCUAGUUUGGAUCUUAUGCAGUUUUUAAGAGUGUUGUUUUUUGUAGGAUAAUAUUAAGACAAAGCAGUGGUUACUGUAGCAGGUGUUUUGUGAUGGCAGAUAAAAUAGGAAAAGAAUGAAAUGAUAUUGAGAUACUGAGAAUAAGAAGAUUUUUCAAUGUAUGUUAUUCAUUUUGUUUUCAUAUGUCCUGUAUGUAUGAGUGUUGACAAGG